AUUGAACGCUGGCGGCAGGCCUAACACAUGCAAGUCGAGCGGCAGCGGGAAAGUAGCUUGCUACUUUUGCCGGCGAGCGGCGGACGGGUGAGUAAUGCCUGGGAAAUUGCCCAGUCGAGGGGGAUAACAGUUGGAAACGACUGCUAAUACCGCAUGCGCCCUACGGGGAAAAGCAGGGGACCUUCGGGCCUUGCGCGCUUGGAUAUGCGCGGGGGGGAUUGGCUAGGUGGUGAGGUAAUGGCUCACCAAGGCGACGAUCCCUAGCUGGUCUGGGAGGAUGAUCAGCCACGCUGGAACUGAGACCCGGUCCAGACUCCUACGGGAGGCAGCAGUGGGGAAUAUUGCACAAUGGGGGAAACCCUGAUGCAGCCAUGCCGCGUGUGUGAAGAAGGCCUUCGGGUUGUAAAGCACUUUCAGCGAGGAGGAAAGGUUGGUAGCUAAUAACUGCCAGCUGUGACGUUACUCGCAGAAGAAGCACCGGCUAACUCCGUGCCAGCAGCCGCGGUAAGAC
rnacentral:rRNA from 1 species